rnacentral:rRNA from 1 species
AACGGCCGCGGUAUCCUAACCGUGCAAAGGUAGCGCAAUCACUUGUCUCCUAAAUAGAGACCAGUAUGAACGGCUAAAUGAGGAUUAACCUGUCUCCUUGGACUAAUCAGUGAAACUGAUCUGCCAGUACAAAAGCUGGCAUAAUACCAUAAGACGAGAAGACCCUGUGGAGCUUCAGACCCCCCAGCCAAACCAAACCUCACCCCCCCCCCCAUGGCUGGUAGUCUUAAGUUGGGGCGACUUCGGAGCAAAACAAAACCUCCGAGCAACAGAACAUUAAUCUACCCAAGGCGGACACGCCAAAGCAAAAACUGACCCAGUAUUACUGACCACCGAACCAAGUUACCCCAGGGAUAACAGCGCCAUCUUCUUCAAGAGUCCAUAUCGACAAGAAGGUUUACGACCUCGAUGUUGGAUCAGGACACCCAAAUG